rnacentral:rRNA from 1 species
AGAGUUUGAUCCUGGCUCAGGACGAACGCUGGCGGCGCGCCUAACACAUGCAAGUCGAACGAGAGAUGAGGAGCUUGCUCUUCAAAUCGAGUGGCGAACGGGUGAGUAACGCGUGAGGAACCUGCCUCAAAGAGGGGGACAACAGUUGGAAACGACUGCUAAUACCGCAUAAGCCCACGGCUCGGCAUCGAGCAGAGGGAAAAGGAGCAAUCCGCUUUGAGAUGGCCUCGCGUCCGAUUAGCUAGUUGGUGAGGUAACGGCCCACCAAGGCGACGAUCGGUAGCCGGACUGAGAGGUUGAACGGCCACAUUGGGACUGAGACACGGCCCAGACUCCUACGGGAGGCAGCAGUGGGGAAUAUUGCACAAUGGGGGAAACCCUGAUGCAGCGACGCCGCGUGGAGGAAGAAGGUCUUCGGAUUGUAAACUCCUGUUGUUGAGGAAGAUAAUGACGGUACUCAACAAGGAAGUGACGGCUAACUACGUGCCAGCAGCCGCGGUAAAACGUAGGUCGCAAGCGUUGUCCGGAAUUACUGGGUGUAAAGGGAGCGCAGGCGGGAGAACAAGUUGGAAGUGAAAUCCAUGGGCUCAACCCAUGAACUGCUUUCAAAGCUGUUUUUCUUGAGUAGUGCAGAGGUAGGCGGAAUUCCCGGUGUAGCGGUGGAAUGCGUAGAUAUCGGGAGGAACACCAGUGGCGAAGGCGGCCUACUGGGCACCAACUGACGCUGAGGUUCGAAAGUGUGGGUAGCAAACAGGAUUAGAUACCCUGGUAGUCCACACCGUAAACGAUGAUUACUAGGUGUUGGAGGAUUGACCCCUUCAGUGCCGCAGAUAACACAAUAAGUAAUCCACCUGGGGAGUACGGCCGCAAGGUUGAAACUCAAGGGAAUUGACGGGGGCCCGCACAAGCAGUGGAGUAUGUGGUUUAAUUCGACGCAACGCGAAGAACCUUACCAAGUCUUGACAUCCCUUGACGAUGCUGGAAACAGUAUUUCUCUUCGGAGCAAGGAGACAGGUGGUGCAUGGUUGUCGUCAGCUCGUGUCGUGAGAUGUUGGGUUAAGUCCCGCAACGAGCGCAACCCUUAUGGUCAGUUACUACGCAAGAGGACUCUGGCCAGACUGCCGUUGACAAAACGGAGGAAGGUGGGGAUGACGUCAAAUCAUCAUGCCCUUUAUGACUUGGGCUACACACGUACUACAAUGGCGUUAAACAAAGAGAAGCAAGACCGCGAGGUGGAGCAAAACUCAGAAACAACGUCCCAGUUCGGACUGCAGGCUGCAACUCGCCUGCACGAAGUCGGAAUUGCUAGUAAUCGUGGAUCAGCAUGCCACGGUGAAUACGUUCCCGGGCCUUGCACACACCGCCCGUCA